UAAUACUAAGUGGUGACAAUUGACAAGGGCCUUCAUGAAACUGGGGAUAUUCGUGAUUUAGGUUCUGGUAAGUUCUAUCAUGAAUCAGGUAUCGUCUUUAAUGCCCAGGAGCUGGCUUAACCAAACUGCACAUUGUGCAGAUCUUCUCGUCGAAAUAGAUCUCUGGUGGUUAUGUUGGAGGCGUCUCAACUCAAGAUUUUGGAGGCCAAUGGCUGGUGCUGAUAUAACUCAGCCUUGUGUGCAGACUGCUCGUCUUUGAUGACAAAUAGAGGCAACAUAUACACAAAUCACACUGUUCAGUUUUAUUUCCUCAUCACUUAUAGAAUGUAUACAAACUACUUUAGUGAUCCAGGCAUCAAGAAUUGUAAAUUUCCUAAGCUUUAUAGCGUCUUAAGAAUUUACAUACCAUGAUUAGUUAUGCACAACGUGAGACUUUGUCGUCAGUUACUGCUUGUCAAGUCGAAGAGGUGUAAUUGAUCAGAGGCGAGUUUCACAGAGAAGCUUGACAUUAUAAAUUUAAUCAUAUAGACCUAAUAGACAGAAGCAAGUGAAAAUGUUCAGUGUUAAGCACGUGGCUAUUUCCAAGUUCAAAACUUACCAACGUUAGUAGGUUCUUAUACAUAUAAUAAACAUCACUUUAUUUGUUACCAUUCUCAUCUGAAACUAGAGGAUUACAAUUCUGAAAAUUUUAUAAACUCAAGUCUGAAAAGACAAGUGAGAAGUGAAGGUUACAACUUACAAGGCUGGUAUUCAAUCGUUCUUCUCCAUAAGAAUUAGUAGGUUUUUCACAAAUCGAGUGCAUUUCUAAUUUUCAGAUAAAUGCAGAACACUUCUUUUUUCUACAACAGAAAUGAUCCUUUCAUAAGGAUAAAAUAAAGUGGGCCAAAAGAUGCAUUGAAAUAUUUCAGAAGCAUUGAUUCUCUAAAUCCAAGACAUAAGGUGAAUGUCUCUUUUGUAACAAGGGGUUUUAUUCUUU
rnacentral:lncRNA from 1 species